UUUUUUAAAAUUUUUUUAUUUUUAAUCCAUGUCAAUUUAUCUUCACUCCCCUGAAUUGUUUUUCAGUCCAUAUGAUUUCCAGUUGAAUCUGCAGAUUUCAUUUCCAUUUAGUUGAUUUUUGUUUUAGAAACUCAGUUGAGUCCUUGGAAAUCUUGCUAAGCUGUUUCUAGCUUUUUACAGACUGAAAUUCUGGUUGAGUUUUGGAUAUGUCUCAUUUCUGUGUUCAUGCUUUGUGUUUCAUUUAACAUUAUAAGAUGAUGAAGACCUCUGUUGCUAUCCAUAGCUUUAGUUAGUUUGAAAUGUUGUAAACUAUGUCGAAAUCCUUCAAAAUUUAUCACCUACCUAAGAAAUGGCAAACAUGCAUGGUGAUCAGAUUGUUGAUAUGCUGAGCCACAUUGUGGUUAGGUGUUGAGCAAAAAUCAUUAUGAUUAGACAGCUUUGAUAAUCUGAUUGUGCUGGUUUUUGCCUCUUGCUGAGCCACAUGCUGGUUCAAAUCAAUCUGUUGUAUAAUGACACUGGUUCUUUGGGUCUUUAGGAUUAUAUUUUCCUUGAAACUGUGGUUAUUUGGCACAAAUAAUUUUGAGCAAGAAUCACAUAUGUCCAGCCUUUAUUCAUAUUUCAGGGAUAUAGGUAUGUUGUCUGAUGUUCUAAAAUCUAAACAUGAGGAAAGGGAAGCCUACUUGUCUGAAAUUGAGGUUUGGAUUUCCUCCUUUUCUGUACAUAUAUUCAGGUAAAAGAUGAUCUAGCUCCAUUUGUUUGUGUGUGCCCGCACACGUGCAGGAAGGAGUUAGAAGAUGUGUUGUCUAUAGAUGAUCUUGAAAGCCUAAAAAACUUGCCAACAGCUAGUUUUGGGUCAGAACUUUGGAAAGUAGUUGGCCAGAAUCGUUUGCCUAAAACAGACAGAAGAAAGAGAUACAGGUUCAUUGACGAAAGAAUUCCAUUGAUGCAUUGCUUGCCAAACAGGUUGUCCUUGUGGAUAUCUGUACUAUGGAGGUUCAAGGGUGGACCUCAUGCCCCCCAGGUUCAAUUGGAUCUGUUAGAAUGGAAAUAUAUAACCAUAGUUUUUCUUUUGGAUAUUUUCACAGCUGUACGGCUCUACAGCACCAUACAGUUAUAAGUAGAUGGUACUUCAGCAAAUUGUCUCUAAAUAAUUUAUAUCAACUGAGUCCGCUUUUAGAGGUUGUAUUUCAACCAUAGCAGAUCCUGUCAAUAGGCUUAAUAUAUAAAGACCCAAACAUCUGUUAUUCAAGAAGCAUGGUGGAAAUCAAAGCCUUUGGUAGUAUUAAAUGCACAUUGGCUUGUCUUAUGGACACCUUGUGAUCUUUUCCAUGAUGCAAGGUGGUAGACAAGGACUGGGGAGCUGAUUUUAGGAAGCUGUCUGCUGGUGCAGCUCUUUUUGGCCUUAUUUUAUGGCUUGACCAUAUGCAGGCAAGUCUUCUUUUACUGAUUUUUGUUUUUGUGUAAUUGCUAAUUUUCAUAUGAAUUGAAUUUGUUGUAAAUGCAUGCAGCAGGCCGGUAUUGAGAAUAGUAAAGAUAGGAACGGUUGUCGGCACCAGAUAGUAACUGGACCAUUUUGAAUUUUCAGGCAUGCCAACACCAGAUAGGAACUGCUCAUCAAGUGAAAUCUGUACUAAAGUACUUCCUUGAUGUAUCCUAACAGGAUAUGUUAGGAGUCAAGCCACCAGACCAGGUCCUUUUCAUUGACCCAAAAUGUUUUAUGUGAUGGGCCUCAACAUAAUUGAUACAUUGUUCUAUGGAUGUUUCCAGAGCUGCCAUUUUCUUUAAAUUGAUACAUUGUGCACUGCUGAUGGAUUUUUAAGCUUGGUAUGCUGAUGCUACAUCUUAGGUGAAGGACAGUGAAUUGCUUGGCUGUUUGAAGCUAACCUUUGUGCAAAAUGCAACAGCCACAUCCAUUUUUGAUACCUUGCAAGAUCGGUUAUCCUUCCAAGGAGUUUUGUAGUCUCUUCCUCCCUCUCUAUUAUCGUUUUCUGUGUGAUUUUGACAUGUCCUGGUUGAUCUGCUUCCUGUUGGAUAAUACCUGGAAUUUUCUGAAGCCUUGAUGACACACAUGUAAAUGGGAGAUGGAUGUGCAGAUGGUGGCAUGGGAGUCCAUUUCCUUUAUGUGGUUUCCUCACUUCCUAUAUGGAUUUUGUUUUCAAAUUGUAGGAUGAGGGUUUUAGUGUGUUGCUAUUCUUUUGACAUGGUGCCAUGUUGUCACAGGAAGUUCAUUCUCAUGCACCAAGCAGGCCACACAGUUGCUUGUGGGCAGAGUUUUGUCAAGAAUCUGCAGCCAUCUGAAGCAGAGGCAGGUUCUGAUAUCCGGGUCCCUCUGAAUGCUGAUGAAGAAUCUUUGGAGAAACGCAUUGCUGAAGAAUGGGCACCUUCCCGUAAUAUGACAUUUGAGGAACUUUAGUCUUUGAUUAUUUCUGUAAUUUAUGUAGGUUUAAUUUGAGCAUUUGCCGAGUACUGGCUCCUGAAUGAGCUAAAGUUUAUUAUUAAGCAU